AGAUCAAGCCAAAACAGAGGUAGGCCUAAAAGUGUUACUCGACAAUCUGAUUCAGUGUCACGUUAUAUCCCAGUUCUCUCGCAGCAUAUUUCUAAAUCUCACACCACAGGCUACUUGGCCUCAUUUGGGAGGAGGGACACGACCCCCCAGUGAAAUAUGCAGGCUACUGUUUAAGUCAAUGUAAAGGUAUGCGCAUAGUAGACGCACACGCACCCAUGGCUACCUGCGUCUGUCCAAGUCACGGGACUUCGGUUGAAUCCGGUUGGCCAAACGUAAUUCAACGGCUCAACUGUAGGGGAUCCCACUGUCUCCCGGUGCUGCCCAGCCCAGGGCUGCUCAUUACUCUCGUGGCCCGGUGGUGCCGGCUCGGCUCGGCUCGGCUCGGCUCGGCUCGGCACCGUCUGACCUGAGCGCGGGACCCACGGAGCGGGGGCCGCAGACACGCCCGCUGGCGCUGGCGUCUGAGCAGGGGCUGAUGGGAACCUUGCGUUGGAACCUGUAGCUGUCAGUCUGGAGCUCUGCUUGGUUGAAGGCCUGGAUCCUGGAGUGGUCGGAGUUCUCCUGGGAAUAUGCGUGGCUUCCUGAUUGUGAUUUCCCAGUCCUGGUCCUUCCUGUUCCUUCCUUCCUGUUUAAUCCUGCCUGCAUGUCUGUUGAGAUGACAGAGCCAGCCAUUCAACAUCUUGGUGACGGUCCCGUCCGCCCAGUGCAUGUCAUCCCAUGUGGUGUGGACCUCUGGGGGGGGGGGGGGGGGGGUGGUUCUUGGGGGGUUGUCCAGGUUUCUGGAGUGGUUGAUGAGUGUAAUCCAGAUUUAUGAUGCUGGGAUGGCGGAUUUGGUCAUCCUCAGCAUGGUGCAGCUGCUUGAUGGCUGUCUUCUUCGUGUGCUGGUCUUUGUUGUAUACACACACAUUCCUAUUAAUUCAUUUUACUGUGGUUGUUUGAUGAUUAAAAAUAUUUUGGGAUCAUAUGAAUCAAAAAAUUUACAUUUUAUUUAUUUUUCCAUUAUUCCAUACGUCUUAUGCAUUUAGUGGUUUUGGACUGAAAUCCAUUAUUUACCAUAAAUUUAUUCUAAUACAUUCCUAUUAAUUUAUUUCUCCAUAGUUGUAAAAUCUAUAAUUUUCUAUACAUCUGGAUAAAAAUGUCUCUUAAAAUGUUAGCAUUUCUUAGCAUUUUCUCCACUGUUUAGACAAAAGUCUAUAGUCUUAUGUAUUUGUGCCAUAACAAAAAUGCAUUGUUUAGAUAAGGGUUUGGUUUCUUGCCAAGCCUAGGUAUAAAAAAAAUAAAUAAAAUACUUUACAUAGUUUCCAUUUAAAAAAUAAAUGUUCUAAUUUUAAAACUGUACAAAAAAUGGUGGGUAUAUUCUGCGAGGUGUGCCUUCAAGUGUUUGGUUUCUGUUGUACAUGAAGGUGAAAGUUUUCAGAGUUGGUUUUGCACUGCCCUUGAGAUGCUCUCCCUGUGUGAUUGGUUAAUAAAUUGUACUUUAUGAA